UACGUAGGGGGCAAGCGUUGUCCGGAUUUACUGGGCGUAAAGAGCGCGUAGGCGGAAGUUUAAGCGGGGCCUGAAAGCCCCCGGCUCAACCGGGGAAGGUGGCUGCGAACUGGGCUUCUUGAGGGCGACAGAGGAGAGUGGAAUUCCUGGUGUAGCGGUGAAAUGCGUAGAGAUCAGGAGGAACACCCAUGGCGAAGGCAGCUCUCUGGGUCGGACCUGACGCUGAGGCGCGAAAGCGUGGGGAGCGAACGGG
rnacentral:rRNA from 1 species